GACGGCUCUGAACUCGAUUGCUUUUCCUGCCAUCUUGCUCCUGUCAAGAGAUGGGCGGACGCGCUUUCCGGAAGUGAAGGGACUUCACAACAAAGCUGAACAAGUGACAACGGAUUAAAUUACGUCAAAGAAGACGAAGAUCCGAAGACUUGGAACUGAAUCCGAGUCACGAGACUUCAUCGGCCAGCCGAGAUUGUCUUCUCCCACGGGACGCUUCAAUGAGCCACGUGUGGUCCGCAAGGCUCGGCGGAGACGGCGCGACCGUGAUGGAGCACCGCGGCGGCGAGGACGACGACGACGACGACGACGAGAUGGUGGACAUCGGCGGGGUCACGCUGGAUUUCUCUUCCACGGACGACGUCCCGCCACUCGGUUCGGGAGGUUACGAGGGGUACGGCAGCGGGGGAGGCAGAGCCGUGAACGGCGUCGGCAAACCGGCAGACCUCCCGGAGGACCCGGUGCCGGGUGUGGGCACCUACGAGGACUUCAACACCAUCGACUGGGUCCGCGAGAAGAGCAAGGACCGCGACCGGCACCGAGAGAUUAGCAACAAGAGCAAAGAGUCCGUGUCGGCUCUGCUGCUCAGCGUCAGCGACGCCUUCUCGGGUUGGCUGCUCAUGCUUCUGGUGGGCCUCAUGUCAGGCGCCGUGGCGGGCGGCAUCGACAUCGCCGCCCACUGGCUGACGGACAUGAAGGGCGGCGUGUGUCUGGCGGGUUUCUGGUUCAACCACGAACACUGCUGCUGGACGUCCAACCAGACCACUUUCCAGGAGCGAGACCGCUGUCCUCAGUGGCAGAGCUGGGCCCAGCUCAUCACCGGGACCGCCGAGGGGGCCCUUGCCUACACGGUCAACUACCUGAUGUACAUGUUCUGGGCUCUUCUGUUCGCCUUCCUGGCCGUGACACUGGUGCGCGCGUUCGCUCCGUACGCGUGCGGCUCGGGAAUACCUGAGAUCAAAACCAUCCUGAGCGGUUUCAUCAUCCGCGGCUACUUGGGCAAGUGGACGCUGAUCGUCAAGACGGUCACGCUGGUGCUGGCCGUGUCGUCCGGGCUCAGCUUGGGCAAGGAAGGCCCGCUGGUCCACGUAGCCUGCUGCUGCGCUAACAUCCUUUGCCACCUCUUCACCAAAUACCGCAAGAACGAGGCUAAGCGGAGAGAGGUGUUGUCGGCGGCGGCGGCGGUGGGCGUGUCGGUGGCCUUCGGCGCUCCGAUCGGCGGCGUCCUCUUCAGCUUGGAGGAGGUGAGCUACUACUUCCCUUUGAAAACUCUGUGGCGUUCGUUCUUCGCCGCCCUGGUGGCCGCCUUCACGCUGCGCUCCAUCAACCCGUUUGGCAACAGCCGACUGGUUCUCUUCUACGUGGAGUUUCACUCUCCCUGGCACCUGGUGGAGCUGGCGCCCUUCGUCCUCUUGGGCAUUUUCGGAGGCCUGUGGGGGGCGCUCUUCAUCAAGGCUAACAUUGCGUGGUGCCGCAGACGCAAGUCGACCCGUCUGGGCCACUACCCGGUGAUGGAGGUCCUGUUGGUGGCGGCGCUGACCGCCUUGCUGGCUUUCCCAAACGGCUACACCAGAAUGAGCGGGGCCGAGCUCAUUUCAGAACUUUUCAAUGAUUGCUCGCUGCUCGAUUCCUCGCAGCUCUGCGGAUACAAACGGCCCACUAACACGUCCCAAACCGGCGUGGGGGACAGCCAGGCGGACCGGCCAGCGGGGGAAGGUCUCUACACCGCUCUGUGGCAGCUGGCUCUGGCCUUGCUCUUCAAGAUGAUCAUCACCGUCAUCACGUUUGGCAUGAAGGUUCCGUCGGGACUGUUCAUUCCCAGCAUGGCGGUGGGUGCCAUCGCGGGGAGGCUGCUGGGCGUGGGCACGGAGCAGCUGGCCUACUACAACCGCGACUGGCUCCUCUUCCGAGGCUGGUGCUCGCCCGGCACCGACUGCAUCACGCCGGGCCUCUACGCCAUGGUGGGCGCCGCCGCGUGCCUCGGCGGCGUGACGCGCAUGACCGUGUCGCUGGUGGUGAUCAUGUUCGAGCUGACGGGCGGCCUGGAGUACAUCGUGCCGCUCAUGGCCGCCACCAUGACCAGCAAGUGGGUGGCGGACGCGUUUGGGCGCGAGGGGAUCUACGAGGCGCACAUCCGCCUCAACGGCUACCCCUUCCUGGAGCCCAAAGAGGACUUUGAGCACGGCAGCUUGGCCGAAGACGUGAUGAGGCCCAGGAGGGCGGACCCCGCCCUGGCCGUGCUCACGCAAGACGGCAUGACGCUGGGUCAGGUGGAGGCGCUGGUGGAGAGCACACGCUUCAGCGGCUUUCCUGUGGUCGUCUCGCAGCAGUCCCAGAGGUUGGUGGGGUUUGUGCUCCGAAGAGAUCUGCUCAUAUCCAUUGAUAAUGCCCGUCAGCGGCAGGAGGGCACGGUCAGUGCAUCCCGGGUGCUCUUCAGCCAGCACGCCCCCGCUCAGGCCCCCGAAGCCCCCCCUGACCUCCGCCUCCGGGGCAUCUUGGACCUCAGCCCCUUCACCGUCACGGACCACACACCCAUGGACAUCACCGUCGACAUCUUCCGCAAACUGGGCCUGCGACAGUGCCUGGUCACACACAACGGGAAGCUUCUGGGCAUCAUCACCAAGAAGGACAUUCUCAAACACAUGGCGCAGAUAGCCAACAGAGAUCCCGACUCCAUUCUCUUCAACUGAAGGACACAACAGUGACCACGACACGUUCUGGUUGGGUGUCUGGGAGCACAAAAAAAAAGAAAAGAAAAGACUCAUCCCCAAUGUCAUGUGGAGACAUGCCUCUGGAAUAUUUCACAUCUGCUCCAUUUUCGUUGUUGUCGUCAUCCUCUUGUUUCGGUUCCGUGUGAAGGAGUGAGGGGCCUCCUCCUCUCCCUCCUCCUCGUCCAGCCUGCGGAGGAUUUGUGAGCAGAUAGAAGAACGCAGGACUUGAGAGAAGAUCAAGUCGGAGGAUGUGGGUGCCUGCCCUGCGGCUGUCAGACGAGCCCAGACGGAGCGCUUCGACUCGGGCUCGAUGGAUUCUCCGGCGGCCCCUCCUCUUUCGAGGCCUGAGACGUGUAGAGUGUGAGAAGCACACACACGCACUCGGAGCGAGCGAAGAAAUGCAAUCAUGUCAUUUCUGUCAAACGUGCAUAAAACCUCGCUGUGGAAGCACAAGGAACUAUAAAGGACAGAGACGGACGGACGGCCGGGGCGGCUCCUCUUCAGCCUGCCCCCCCCCCCCCCACGCCACCAGGGGACUUGAAAGCUUUCCAUCCUCUCUCCAACGCGAGCGCUUGAGUGUGACCGCCAACCGGAGAGGCGUAUCCCCAGCAUUCAACAGUCCCCAAGUCAAGACGCCGACACCGUAAUGGGUGGUGAUUUCUGAGCUUUUUCUCUGGAGGGGCGUCCUGUGAUUUUUGCAGGGACAUUCCCCAAGUGUGAGUGAAGGUGACUUCUGAGAAGUCGGGCAGGAUGCCAAUGGGUGCGGCGCAGUCUUUGUGCACAUGUGCGUGUCGGACACUUUUGCUGCCCGUUCGCUCCACUGGGACUCAAAAUAAAAUGAGUGUUUUUUCUUAAAAGAG